GUGUCGAAGCAUUCACACGUCCCUUUUGACAGAUUUCUAAGAAGUGCUUCCGUUUUUUCUUGAAAAGUGGUUGUUAUUUCGUUGCCACACCUACAAAGGAGUGAUUUGGUCUCCCGCUGCCACCCUCCAGAUGCGUCUCUUGGCUCUGUUCGUGGCACUCCUGGCCCUCGUGGGUGCCGCGAGUGCCUUCUUUCCUCUCGCGCGGGGCAAUGGGUUUCAUGUCCGCCAGAACUUCAGAAGAGGUCGUCCGAUAAACGGAGGCCGACCGCGACCCUAUGUCUUCGACGACUUUUUGAGAGGAAAGUAAAAGGAAAAUAUACGACUUACAACGAUGAAUAGAUUCCCUUCACCACUCGCUGUGGCGAACCUUGUCCCAUUUUCUUUGUAUAUAUAUAUUUUUUUCUCUUUUGAUUGAUUGUUUGUAGACUUUGUAUUUUGCGAUGUGAAUAAAUGAUUUAUAAUCAAA